AUUGAACGCUGGCGGCAUGCCUUACACAUGCAAGUCGAACGCGAAAGGGGGCAACCCCGAGUAGAGUGGCGAACGGGUGAGUAAUGCAUCGGAACGUAUCCUAUAGUGGGGGACAACCGCGAGAAAUCGAGGCUAAUACCGCAUACGACCCACGGGUGAAAGCGGGGGACCGCAAGGCCUCGCGCUACUGGACCGGCCGAUGUCCGAUUAGCUAGUUGGUGGGGUAAAAGCCCACCAAGGCAACGAUCGGUAGCUGGUCUGAGAGGACGACCAGCCACACUGGGACUGAGACACGGCCCAGACUCCUACGGGAGGCAGCAGUGGGGAAUUUUGGACAAUGGGGGCAACCCUGAUCCAGCCAUGCCGCGUGCGGGAAGAAGGCCUUCGGGUUGUAAACCGCUUUCGGCCGGAACGAAAUCGCCGGGGACAACACCCCCGGUGGAUGACGGUACCGGAAGAAGAAGCACCGGCUAACUACGUGCCAGCCGCCGCAGUAAGAC
rnacentral:rRNA from 1 species